GACGAACGCUGGCGGCGUGCUUAACACAUGCAAGUCGAACGAAGUGGCGAACGGGUGAGUAAUACGUGGGUAACCUGACCUCCUUUUUGGGAUAAGCCUUGGAAACGGGGUCUAAUACCGAAUAACGGGGGUGGGGCUGCGGGCCUAUCAGCUUGUUGGUGGGGUGAUGUCCUACCAAGGCGGUGCCGGGUAGCCGGCCUGAGGGGGUAUACUGCCACAUGGGGACUGCGGUACGGCCCAAACUGCUACGGGAGGCAGCAGGGGGGAAUCUUGCAAAAGGGGGGAAACUCGGAUGCAGCAACGUCGCGUGCGGGAUGACGGCCUUCGGGUUGUAAACCGCUUUCAGCCAUGACGCGGUAGUGGCAGAAGAAGCACCGGCUAACUACGUGCCAGCAGCCGCGGUAAUUC
rnacentral:rRNA from 1 species